UACGGAGGGUGCAAGCGUUGUUCGGAAUUACUGGGCGUAAAGCGCGCGUAGGCGGCCAUGUAAGUCGGUUGUGAAAGCCCCGGGCUCAACCUCGGAACUGCAGCCGAGACUGCGUGGCUGGAGUCCGGGAGAGGAGGGUGGAAUUCCCAGUGUAGGGGUGAAAUGCGUAGAUAUUGGGUGGAACACCGGUGGCGAAGGCGGCUCUCUGGCCCGGUUCUGACGAUGAGGCGCGAAAGCGUGGGGAGCAAACAGG
rnacentral:rRNA from 1 species